rnacentral:ncRNA from 2 species
AGUAUCGCUCCCGCUGGUGGUUCACCGGCCCUCCGGGGCGGGUGAGGCAAGAGGGAACCCGGUGCGAAUCCGGGACUGCCCCGCAGCGGUGAGUGGGAACGAAAGCCGUCAUAGGCACUGGGAGCCGUUCAGGCCCUGGGAAGCGACGGUGGAGUAGGAAGCCCACGAGUCCGAAGACCUGCCACCCGCACGCACCUCAG